UCUCCGUUGGUGAACCAGCGGAGGGAUCAUUACCGAGUUUACAACUCCCAAACCCAAUGUGAACGUUACCAAACUGUUGCCUCGGCGGGAUCUCUGCCCCGGGUGCGUCGCAGCCCCGGACCAAGGCGCCCGCCGGAGGACCAACCAAAACUCUUUAUGUAUACCCCUCGCGGGUUUUUUUACAAUCUGAGCCAUCUCGGCGCCCCUCGUGGGCGUUUCGAAAAUGAAUCAAAACUUUCAACAACGGAUCUCUUGGUUCUG
rnacentral:misc_RNA from 1 species